CCGCCAGACUCCUACGGGAGGCAGCAGUGGGGAAUUUUGCGCAAUGGGGGAAACCCUGACGCAGCAACGCCGCGUGCGGGACGAAGGCCCUCGGGUCGUAAACCGCUUUCAGCAGGGAAGACCACGACGGUACCUGCAGAAGAAGCCCCGGCUAACUACGUGCCAGCAGCCGCGGUAAUACGUAGGGGGCGAGCGUUAUCCGGAUUCACUGGGUGUAAAGGGAGCGUAGACGGCCAUGCAAGCCAGGGGUGAAAGCCCGGGGCCCAACCCCGGGACUGCCCUUGGAACUGCAUGGCUGGAGUGCGGGAGGGGCAGGCGGAAUUCCUGGUGUAGCGGUGAAAUGCGUAGAUAUCAGGAGGAACACCGGCGGCGAAGGCGGCCUGCUGGACCGCGACUGACGUUGAGGCUCGAAAGCGUGGGGAGCGAACAGGAUUAGAUACCCCAGUAG
rnacentral:rRNA from 1 species